CAGGUCAUCCAAGGAAACACAUCUACAAAAAUUGGCUCAAAGGCUUAAACUUGUAUCAGUACAACUAUGAUGAUGAGCUGCUACCUAGACAGAGUCUCACCAUGUUGCCUUUGCUGGUCUUAAACUCCUGGACUCAAGCGAUCCUCCCGCCUCGGCCUCCCAAAAUGUUGGGAUUACAGAAAAAAAGCCAUGUAAGGACACAGUAACAAGGCAGUAGUCUACAAGCCAGGAAGAGAGGCCUCACCAGAAGCCAGCCCUGACAGCACCUUGAUCUUGGAGGUCUAGCCUCCAGAACUGUGAGAAAAUAAAUCUCUAUUGCUUAAGCCAUCUAGUCUGUGGUAUUUUGUUAUGGCAGCCCAAGAAGACUAAUAAUUACAACACCCAGACCAAUUAAAUCACAAUCACUCAGAGUGGGACACAGACGACGGUAUUUUGGGAGCUCCUAGGUGAUCUAACGUCUGCACAGGCAAGUUUGGGAACCAUUGCCUUAUUUCAUUCCAGCUUGGAACUUUGAUGGACCUACGCUUUUCUUUCUUGUUAUUAGAUUGCAGAAAAAUAAGAAUAAAAUCAUUAGUAAUUUAUAAGACCACAACAAAACCUGCCUCAAA